rnacentral:rRNA from 1 species
CAGUCGCCGCGGGAAUACAGAGGUCCCGAGCGUUGUUCGGAUUCACUGGGCGUAAAGGGUGCGUAGGAGGUUGGAUAAGUCAGGUGUGAAAUCCCGCAGCUCAACUGCGGAACUGCAUUCGAUACUGGUCAACUAGAGGAUCGGAGGGGGAGGUAGAAUUCUUGGUGUAGCGGUGAAAUGCGUAGAUAUCAAGAGGAACACCGGUGGCGAAGGCGGCUACCUGGAAGAUACCUGACUCUGAAACACGAAAGCCAGGGGAGCGAAUGGGAUUAGAGACCCCAGUAGUCCCUGUCUCUUAUAC